AUUCCAGCUCCAAUAACGUAUAUUAAAGUUGUUGCGGUUAAAGGCCUCGUAGUUGGAUUUCUGCUGAGGACGACCGGUCCGCCCUCUGGGUGAGUAUCUGGCUCAGCCUUGGCAUCUUCUUGGGGAACGUAACUGCACUUGACUGUGUGGUGCGGUAUCCAAGACUUUUAAUUUGAGGAAAUUCAAAUGUUUCAAGCAGGCGCACGCCUUGAAUACAUUAGCAUGGAAUGGUAAGAUAGGACCUUGGUUCUAUUUUGUUGGUUUCUAAAGCUGAGGUAAUGAUUAAUAAGGAUAGUUGGGGGCAUUCGUAUUUAACUGUCAGACGUGAAAUUCUUGGAUUUGUUAAAGACGGACUACUGCGAAAGCAUUUGCCAAGGAUGUGUUCAUCG
rnacentral:rRNA from 1 species